GGAUGUGAGGAAGAUAUGUCUGCAACAUCUGUCACCACAUCGAUCUCCAGGGUUGACUUGGCUAAUCCGGCUGGCUGGGCGGGUGUCCUCUUCCCUGGUCCCUUCACCCAUGUGCCUUCCUCCUGAAGCUGCGGGCUCACACUGCACUUGGGUGGGGUGCAAGAGGAGGACCAUCGCAGAUAGAGGAGGCCUUUUCCUAGGCAAAGCAUAUAGGAGUAGCUGCUCCUCCCUGCCAAAACCUCUCAAAAGAUCUCCCCAAAUGUACAAUACAGCAUGUGACUAGCUCUAGAAAGAUGAUGUCAUAAACAAAUACUAUGAUGUUCUAGUUCCUUU
rnacentral:snRNA from 1 species